rnacentral:misc_RNA from 1 species
AGAGGAGUUGAUGAGAACUCUAAUCCAUUCUCUGAGCGAGAAGGAUGGCCAAAGCGGGUUCGCAUUGAAGGCUUAAGGUAGACGAAAGAGUUCUUCUGACGACUACUGCCUUGCGCUGAAGCCAUGCCUUCGCGGGCUGAAUUUUGGGUCUGAUCCUCU